CCAAUAGCGUAUAUUAAAGUUGUUGCAGUUAAAAAGCUCGUAGUUGAAUUUCGGGACCAAUAUGUCGGUCGUGCUUCGGUACGUACUUGAAUUAUUGGUUUCUCCCUUCUGAGGAACCAUGAUGUCAUUACUUUGGUGUCGUGGGAAAUCAGGACUGUUACUUUGAAAAAAUUAGAGUGUUUAAAGCAGGAUCGCGCUUGAAUACAUUAGCAUGGAAUAAUGAAAUAGGACGUUUGAUUCUAUUUUGUUGGUUUCUAGGAUCGACGUAAUGAUUAAUAGGGAUAGUUGGGGGCAUUAGUAUUCAAUUGUCAGAGGUGAAAUUCUUGGAUUUAUUGAAGACUAACUACUGCGAAAGCAUUUGCCAAGGAUGUUUUCAUUAAUCAAGAACGAAAGUUAGGGGAUCGAAGACGAUCAGAUACCGUCGUAGUCUUAACCAUAAACUAUGCCGACUAGGGAUCGGAUGAUGUUAAUUUUUUAAUGACUCAUUCGGCGCCUUACG
rnacentral:rRNA from 1 species